UGGCGUUCAUGCAAGCAAGCCCUAAAACUUGUAGUACAACUGCCAUGUAUCAACACUCCAUACAAACCAGCUCAGGAUGAUGGGAACUAAGCUGAAUUACUUUACCAGAUUGCCUCUUACGGUAGCAGGGUAUUCAUGGAGCAUUAUCGAGAUGGCAUCAGGAAGAGAGUGUUCGGCAGGUGAAGUGCAUUUGUAGAAGCCUCAGACUUCAACGCCACUGCCCAGAAUCAUCUGAGCAGGACAUUGCCUGAGCUAUUUGUCCGAUGCCCUCUCGCCUUAUCCUUGCUGAUCACACUGUCCAACACUGCAAUGUUAUCAAGCUGCUCGGAGUGUUUAUGCAGUCCAAUCUCAAAUGGGACACUCAUGAUUGAUUGAUUUGA